UUCAUUACAUUCACCAACCAAAGAUCUCUUCUUCAACUUUUCAUCCACAAACCUUUACAUAUGUUUCUUAAGGUCUUUCUACAGCUUAUGAUGCCCUGAAACAGCACAUGUGCGUCGUCGUUGGUUCUAAAAUCGUUUGAUGGACAGUUAAAGAGACAAGAAGGUUCUUCAAAGAAGAGGUAUGUGUUGUGGACGGAUGAAGAGACACUGGCAAUUUCAGGAUGCGAGUGUAGCAUUGGGAGUUGAAGCGAGUCACGGUCUUGGCAGUGUACUGAAGAGAGUCAUGGACUUGGCAGUGUACUGAAACGAGUGAAGUCGUGUAGUGUAGUGUCUUGUGUUGUAUUUACUGAACUCUUGUAUCACGGACUUGUACUGUAAUGUGUAAAGACUGAACUCUUGUGUCACAUGUCUUGUAUUAUUAUUGUAUGUCACCCUCUCAUGUAGUCUUUUUUUCAUCAAGUAGUAACUCCUAUUCAACCUUCUAUCUCUCAUUCUUUAUAUUGAACUUUCUGAACAAACAAAUCACAAACUCAUUUUUUCUCUUCUUACCAAACCAAAACCAAGAUCAAACGCCAAAUCACUAAGUCAUUUUCCCUCUUCUUACCAAACGAAAAUCA